rnacentral:rRNA from 1 species
GACGAACGCUUGCGGCGUGCUUAACACAUGCAAGUCGAACGGAAAGGCCCUGCUUUUGUGGGGUGCUCGAGUGGCGAACGGGUGAGUAACACGUGAGUAACCUGCCCUUGACUUUGGGAUAACUUCAGGAAACUGGGGCUAAUACCGGAUAGGAGCUCCUGCUGCAUGGUGGGGGUUGGAAAGUUUCGGCGGUUGGGGAUGGACUCGCGGCUUAUCAGCUUGUUGGUGGGGUAGUGGCUUACCAAGGCUUUGACGGGUAGCCGGCCUGAGAGGGUGACCGGCCACAUUGGGACUGAGAUACGGCCCAGACUCCUAUGGGAGGCAGCAGUGGGGAAUAUUGCACAAUGGGCGGAAGCCUGAUGCAGCAACGCCGCGUGCGGGAUGACGGCCUUCGGGUUGUAAACCGCUUUCGCCUGUGACGAAGCGUGAGUGACGGUAAUGGGUAAAGAAGCACCGGCUAACUACGUGCCAGCAGCCGCGGUGAUACGUAGGGUGCGAGCGUUGUCCGGAUUUAUUGGGCGUAAAGGGCUCGUAGGUGGUUGAUCGCGUCGGAAGUGUAAUCUUGGGGCUUAACCCUGAGCGUGCUUUCGAUACGGGCUGACUUGAGGAAGGUAGGGGAGAAUGGAAUUCCUGGUGGAGCGGUGGAAUGCGCAGAUAUCAGGAGGAACACCAGUGGCGAAGGCGGUUCUCUGGGCCUUUCCUGACGCUGAGGAGCGAAAGCGUGGGGAGCGAACAGGCUUAGAUACCCUGGUAGUCCACGCUGUAAACGGUGGGUACUAGGUGUGGGGUCCAUUCCACGGGUUCCGUGCCGUAGCUAACGCUUUAAGUACCCCGCCUGGGGAGUACGGCCGCAAGGCUAAAACCCAAAGGAAUUGACGGGGCCCCGCACAAGCGGCGGAGCAUGCGGAUUAAUUCGAUGCAACGCGUAGAACCUUACCUGGGUUUGACAUGGAUCGGGAGUGCUCAGAGAUGGGUGUGCCUCUUUUGGGGUCGGUUCACAGGUGGUGCAUGCCUGUCGUCAGCUCGUGUCGUGAGAUGUUGGGUUAAGUCCCGCAACGAGCGCAACCCUUGUUCACUGUUGCCAGCACGUUAUGGUGGGGACUCAGUGGAGACCGCCGGGGUCAACUCGGAGGAAGGUGGGGAUGACGUCAAGUCCUCAUGCCCCUUAUGUCCAGGGCUUCACGCAUGCUACAAUGGCUGGUACAGAGAGUGGCGAGCCUGUGAGGGUGAGCGAAUCUCGGAAAGCCGGUCUCAGUUCGGAUUGGGGUCUGCAACUCGACCUCAUGAAGUCGGAGUCGCUAGUAAUCGCAAAUCAGCAACGCUGCGGUGAAUACGUUCCCGGG